GGAUCCUCCUCUCUUUGCGCAAGCAAACUCCAGUUGGCAACCGUACCGCUCCCAGCUCACACGCACAGACUCCAAGCACAACACGGACAACCUUGGGUGGAGCGUGCGUUUGCUUUAAAGUCCAGCGCAUAAUCCCAGUGCAGCUAAUUCGCUUCCCUCCGUGGCGGUUCGGUUUUUCCUCGACGACAUCCUGGUGUUGCAGUAAUGGGCCAGCUCCAAUCGAUGCUGCCCGGCGCAGGUGGGAAAACACAGACAGAUGCUCAAGGGAAGCCAGUGAAGGGAGGGAAAAAACCGAAAAAAGGAGCGGUGGAGCAGGCCGUUGACCAAGCUGUUGAUAUGGGCGCAAACGUUUUGAAAAAGAAAGGAGGUGAAGUCGCGAAAAAUCUUCCCUUCAGUACGUGAUCCGCCAUCUCCAACUUGAAGAAAUGUUUGUCGUUGCAGUUUGUCUAGAACCCUCACGUUUAGAAACACAAUGUCCUUUAAAUGAAUAAAAUGCUUCUUUAAAUGAA